CAUGCGCUUCCCUGGUGCGGAUCGCGGGAGAGCCCAAUCACAGGGCGAGCUGGACCUGGCUGUGAUCAUUUAUAAUCCUUGACUCCUCCGCUCCGCCACUUGUCAAGAUGACAGGUACUUUAUUUCUUCUUCUUCUUUAUUCAAAAAAUGAGAUUCCGGUUUUCUGCUUUUUUCGCUGUCAAAUGGGAUUUGCCGGACUGAACCACGUCCAUAUCGCCGCCCCUCCCUCCAUCCCUCCUCCCAGCCACGCCGGGUACGAGGAAAGCACCGAGGCUCCCAUGCUGUGACCAAUCAGUGUAUCUACUACUCUCGCCGUGAUUUAGGGGUCAUCCAUGAAUAACACUUCAUGCUGAUGAAUGGCUCUUGCCGGCUUUCGGCUCUGAUGAGGGGUCUGCUGGCCGCUGAUUGCAAACACUAAUGAACUUACAGCACCAUUUGAAAUUCACACGCACCAACAAAGUGCGGGGGUGGGCAUUUCGGGUCAGCUGAGUCACCCGAGGAGGUGGGAGUGCGAGACACUGCCUGGGAAGAUGGAUUCCUAGACAGAAGGGUGUAAUUAAGGAUUGCCACCCCCGGUAGGCGGCCCGCCCUUGACAGAGCCUCUGAAAAUGACCUGCGUCUUUCCUUCCAAAAGUGUCCUCUUGUCGGAGACCGAAAAGCGCAAAUGACCUUCGGACUCCAGCAGGGGAGGGCUGCACUGAACACUUAGAUAUCCACACAGGCCCCAGCUCUGCCCUGUUUAGAACAAGUGUCCUCUCCCAGAUACAAGUAGCUGGACCUCCAACCAGGACCCACUGUCAGGGGCACAUUCAACAAACCUAAAGCCCCACCACCACCAGCAGCAGCUCCAUCCCCCAUCAAUUUCUCCUUUCUUCCCUCGGAUUGCAGCACAACACUGCCCCUGCCACACUUGGUUUGCAGUGGGAGCCGGAAAAACUUUACCGCCCUCCAGGACUCUGCCACUUUGUAAGUUUCUGCCAAAACUCAACUCCGGGAAUCUCCAGCCCCGCCCCCAUCCUUACCCCUAGCGGCGGAAAGCCCACCCGGGGAACCCUUUUUCACUUUUGGAAGCUCCUGCGGUUCGAGAUUUGGAACACCAAACCUAGGACCUUUACAGAAUCGCGCUCUGGCUCCCUGCCUCCCACCACCUCCAGGCAUCUUGCUGUCCGCAGGAGGCACUGGGUCCUGCCCCUUGGAGAGGAUCAUUGCACCAAUAAGGGUGAAGCUCCUCGAGGAGUGCCCAGGCGGUCCCUGAGACCAGCCUGGAGCCACCCGGGCGAAGCGGAGAGUUCCCCAGGCCUGCCCAGAGCCACUGCCAGCCAGUCUCCCGCAACUGGCAGAGGAAACAGGCUCCAGCCGAGCCCUUGGGUCCUACCUCCACUGCGAAUUUCAGAGCAGAGGACUCUACUUAACCUGUCUUAGCCUGAAUCGAAGACUUUUGUAUUUUUAACUACGUUCAAAAGGACAAAUCCAGCAGUCAGGCAAACAUGGAAAAGACUGGACCUUUCUGUUUUUUUUUUCCCCAAAGUUUAGUGUGGAAUUGACAAAGAGGGAACUCGAAUUAGUGUGCCCAUGCCCACGGUUUAAGUUCCCAAAGACGCUGGGCUUUGUCAAGUCUUGACAAUAAGUGAAUCCGACUUGGUUCCACCAGCACUAAUGACCCAAAGGCCCACUGGCACAUCUUUCUGGAACAAUCUAGAGUUACCCUAGGAUGACGGUACAGCCUCCUUCCUGCCCUAUGAAUCUCACACUUCAAAAAGACUAAGGCGGCAGACCAGGAGGAAUUACACCUUCCUCUCUUCAUUAUCGUAAGAAGUUUGUCAAUGAUGAAUGUAUGGCCCCCCAGACAUUAAAGAAAAUCAAAUAAACUCCCCCAAAUUAGCAUCCUUGACCUGAUCAUAAGCAAACUCUGAGGGCCUUUUAUAAAUCACCUUGAAGCUCAGCUCCCACAAAAAAAAUCACGAGUGUAACUUAUUACUGUCCAAGAAGCAAAACCCCUCUCUCCCUCUUCUGUGCUGACGUCUAUUGAGUACACAAUAAAGACCCACUACCCCAACCCCAAAGAUGCUCAAACAGAAGAGUUGUGUGCAGGGGGAGAUGAGGAGGAGCACUGUUUACUUCAGCUCUUCUUCCCUCAAACCCUCAUUAUGGCUAACACUGCUAAUAAUGAAGAAAGGAAUUAUGGAAGUCAUUCAAUGUGGAAAUGGUAGUAAACUUGGGAGCCUGUCUCCAGCCCACAUCACACUAGUGGAUGUGCGAACACACACACACACACACACACACACACACACACACACACACACACACACCUCUAUAAGCUCUCUUUGCUUAGUGCCAGGUUUUGCCACUGGACAAAGCACACUGAUGUCUGGUCAGCAUUUGUCAGCUUCUGCAAGGCUCAGCCUGUAAGUAAGGCAGUCGGGGUAGGUGCAUUCAACCUGACUCCCCUCCCCUCCCCUCCCCUCUCCUCUCCUCCCUCCUCUCUCAGAAGUCCCAUCAUUCAAGCCCCUUAAGAAAUGUUGUUGGGGAAAAAAACCAAACUGGACCAGGUUUUGUGCUCCAAAUGCAUCCCUGGAAAGCAGUGAACCUGCUUGAUAUGUGACCACCCCAACUUUGCCUUGUGGCUGAGCUGCUGUCAGGGGAGAGAAAGAUGGUGAAUUGCUCACUUUGGCACCAAUAAAACCUGGACUAGCAGAAGAAAUGCAAGUCUUCGCUGCUUGUUUUGGCCUGCACUGCAGACUGCCCAGGGUGGCUGGAGAGUUUGCAGUCUUAGCAGUGCUGAUCUGGUCUAUUCAUGGGCUAAUGACAAGGAACAGGCUGUAUUGCUGUCUCCUCCCCCUAGCUUCCUAUUGUUGCCCUGACCUUAGCAGGCUUCUAGAGGUAUCUGGAAACCUCCAGGUUCCCUUUAAGGUUAGGAAGGGCACACCCAGGCCAUCAGAACUGGACUAGGGUACUAAAGGGCAGCCUCUUGACCUGUUAUGAAGUCAGAGCAGAGGCCUCUGGUACUCCAGUUCCCAUCAUGUCAACCUCUGCCUGUGUCUUUGGCAGCCUAAGGUGAUACUCGUCCUCCAGGGACUCUGUUUUGAAGGCCAUGCACUUUCUCUUGUCCUGAGAUCCAGCCUGUAGCUCAGGGGCUGGGUGGCAGCUGUCCCCACCUCCCCGACAGGGAACAGAUGCCUCCAAAGCACACUUUCCCUUUUGACUUGGGAGUCUUUCAAGGACACAGAAGGGAACACUGAACCAUGCAGGUGUGGGGUUCUCUCGGGAGGGUGAAGACAUAAUGCUAGUUUGAAGUUGUUCUCUGAACUUAGCUCCUUCUGCUUUAGCCACAAAGACUUGACUGUCAAGCUCAGCCUGAGUUUCUGCAGCUCUGCCACGUUUGCCACUUAAGGGAUUCCAGACAUUCAAGAGCUGGUAGAGAUGACAUUGACAGCUAGAGUUCAGACGCUAGAGCAACCAGCUCACCUUUGGAAAAGCUCAGCAGUGAGAGAAUGCUGGACCUUGCCUCAAGAAUUCACCAUGUCACUUGGAAACUGGAAUUAAAUCAGGUUUGAUACAGGUAAUAUUUAUUUUCAAACAUUAGCAACCACACUGGAUUUAUUGAAAUUUUUGUUCUGUUUUGUUUUUGACUAAAGUCUCACUUUGUAUCCCAUGAUUACCUGAAGUUAGAUAUGUAGUCCAGGCUAACACAGACUUACAGCAGCCCUCUGGCUUCGGCCUCCAAGUACCGGGACUUGUAGGCAUAAGCAAUCAUGUCAUGCUAUUUCCAUAACUUCGAAGACGAUAAGUUUAUAGAAAUUGGAAAGUUAUAUUAAUAACAAAUAAGCUGUAGAAAUUUGGAGCUAUUUUCAAGUUCCUUUUACUUUUUAUUAAUAGUA
rnacentral:sRNA from 1 species